rnacentral:tRNA from 1 species
UCCCUGGCAGUCCAGUGGCUAAGACUCCACACUCCCAAUGUAGAGGGCCCAGGUUCGAUCCCCAGUCAGGGAA